AUGGCCCAGAUCAGGACUUGUGCCGGCAAGUGCUUUGGCCCGUGGAAUGUUGCGCUACUCAUUGUCGCCGAACCAGUAACUGCCAGAGCCCGACCAAGAUCUGAUCGAUCUGCGGCGACGGCCUGGACAGAGGACUUCGCCCGUGCUCCGCCGAGAGAAAGCUCCCCGGAUCUCAUGGUCACGGUAGGGAUGAAGAAGGUGAAGGGGAAGGGGAGGGGGAAGGAUGAGCGACGGGUGACCUUUGCACCAGAAUCCGGGGAGCGACGGGUUAAGAGAAAAAUACCUGAAGCUUUUGUUGGCACUUCUAAGGUGUCAGCAACAAGUCAGAAGAGGAACAUGAAUGCAGCUGACUCAUCAGAAAAAUUAGAGAUUCAUGAAAAUGGAACCUCAAGGAAGCGGAUUAGAGAAAUUGAUGCAGAUGGCUCAAAAAAGGGCAACACAGCGGGUCCUGGAGCUUACAAGUCAGCGCCAGGAAACCUUAAAAGUACUAAAGAUUCUCAUUCCUCAAACCACGUGUCCUCAAAGUUUGUACCGCUGGCUGGAAUUCCCGGACACAAAACCAGGAACCUUACGGACAUGGCUGUGAGGGUGAACGUGAAAGUGGAGGAGGGGGAAGUAAUGAAGUUUGGGCAGAAAUUCAUCAGGGUAUUCAAAUACGGGGAGCGAUUGCAUAUUCCUUCAUUGUCUGAUCUCUAUCCCUAUUUUGUGAACCUGCCAAGGAAUUGGUUUCUCAAAAUACCUGCAUUGUGGCAUAGCCCUUUUUUCUUGGAAAUUGUGGUCCUUGGGGACAUCAAGGAGGAUAGUUUCUAUUCUGUGGUGUUUGCUGUUACGAAAAGCACAUAUAAAUAUCUUAACCUGGACACCGACUGUACGAAGAGGACGCUAGAGUCUAGACGCCGAGGACGUCUCGCAUGGUACAAAGACGGGGAUGCCACCUCACGUCGGCCAGCCAUACUCGAGGCCGGAGAGGGCGGUUGCAUUAACUUCGAUAGCUACCAGAAGAGGCAACCUGCUAAUGGGAUGCAUAUCAUAUGUCAGUACCUUCAGAAUCAACGAACUGGGUCGGUUAUACUAAGAGGUCAAAGUGGGAAUAAAUGGCUUGUGGAACUUGCUUCAGACACCGAAGGAUUUUUCUUUAGACGUGGGUGGAAGGAAUUUGGUAUAGAUCAUUCCAUUGGGGAAGGAAACCUCUUAUUAUUUUGUUAUGAUGGAUACGGACAGUUCUCAGUUAAUAUAUUUAAUGGAAUGUGUGUUGAGAAGCCAUCAGCUCUUCAUGCUAAGCCUUCAAAGGAUUUUAAAGAAGAGAGUGAUGAAGAUGACAAUGGAGUAGCUCCCCAAGAAGAGAAUAAUGGAACCACAAAGAAGCCGACUGGAGAAAUUUACGCAGAUGGCUCUACGUUGAAGAAGUGUUCUAAUGCAUCAGUUAAGGGUAAGCAAAAAAUGCCUGAAUCUUUGGUUGGUACUUGUAAUGUGUCAGCAACAAGACAGAAGAGGAACAAGAAUGCAGCUGACCCAUCAGAAAGCUUGGAGGUUGCUGGAGCUUGCAGAUCAGCGCGAACAAGCAUUAAAAGUAAUGACGCUGUCAUGAAAGUUCAAAGGCAACAUGCAAUAGUAUCACAAAGGUCGCCGGUAAGUGAAGGGCAGAAGAAGUACGCUCUUCAAAGGGCAGAGAUAUUUACAUCUAAGUACCCUUCAACUCUGCAAGUAAUUAAGGCGGCUAGUGCCUACAACUCAUUUUUCAUGGUCAUCCCAUCUGAAUUUGUCAGGGAGCAUCUCCCCCACACCAGCAAGAAGUUGACCCUGUGGGAUCCGCAAGCAACGCCCUGGCAAGUUGACUACCUCUACUGCAGCCAUCGUUCCGCCGGCGCUUUCAGCAGAGGCUGGAGCCAGUUCUCGAUCGGCAACAAUCUGGAGAAGUUCGAUGUUUGCGUCUUCGAGCUCAUCGCCGAGGAUACCAUCAAGGUGCACAUCUACAGAGCUCAGCUCCUGAUAGCACAUGAACUACCUGUAUGUACAAUGUUUUUCACUCGGAUUGAUGGAAGUGUUGGAUUAGUGGUUCUUAAGCUAUUGAAUCGUGCGAGAAAUGAUCUUGCGGGCUUGCUGCCAUUCUGGUGCUGCAUUAUGAGGAGCUUAUCUGGCUACAGCGUGCACGUGCUAACCGGCUGCUUCACGGAGACCGGAAUACAUCAAUCUUUCAUAAAGUGGCAACAGCACAGAAAAAAGAGGAACUGUAUUAAGAGGCUUUUAGAUGACACAGGGGUUUGGAAGGAAGGUUGGAUUGAUACUGCAAUUUUCAUGAUUACAAAGGUUAUUACCCCAGAGAAAGUUUCACAGUUUAGGCCGAUCUGUCCGUGCAAUGUGGUGUACAAGGGGGCGGGGGAGGGGGGGGGGGCUUACAACUCUACUUUCAAAGGCGAGCAAACUGGAGACCUUAUGGGAGUUAAAUUUUGUCGUGACGCAGCUGCAACGAUGAAUCUUCUUUUUGGAGUCGAUUCUUUAGUUCUGACGAAGACCAAUGUUACAAAUGCGGCAUGCCUAAAAAUCCGUUCUGGAUCUUUACUAUUCUGCUUCAGGUCAGCUUGUGAGUGUUGA
rnacentral:rRNA from 1 species